rnacentral:rRNA from 1 species
AACUUAAGCAUAUCAAUAAGCGGAGGAGAAGAAACUAACCAGGAUUCCCUCAGUAACGGCGAGUGAAGAGGGAUGAGCCCAGCACCGAAGCCUGCGGCAGGUUUGCUGUUAGGCAAUGUGGUGUGCGGGUCGGCUGGCGGGACCGCCGCUCCACUCGAAGUCCAGCAUUGAGUAUGGUGAUGAUGGAGGUAGAUGAUGGCCCACAGAGGGUGAGAGGCCCGUAGGAGUGGA